GAAAUGCGAUAAGUAAUGAGAAUUGCAGAAUUCAGUGAAUCAUCGAAUCUUUGAACGCCCCUUGCGCUCCUUGGUAUUCCUUGGAGCAUGCCUGUUUGAGUAUCAUGAAAUCUUCAAAGUAAAUCUUUUGUUAACUCAAUUGGUUUCUACUUUGGUAUUGGAGGUCUUUGCAGCUUCACACCUGCUCCUCUUUGUUCAUUAGCUGGAUCUCAGUGUUAUGCUUGGUUCCACUCGGCGUGAUAAGUUAUCUAUCGCUGAGGACACUGUAAAAGGUGGCCAAGGUAAAUGCAGAUGAACCGCUUCUAAUAGUCCAUUGACUUGGACAAUACUUUUAUGAUCUGAUCUCAAAUCAGGUAGGACUACCCGCUGAACUUAAGC
rnacentral:misc_RNA from 1 species